rnacentral:tRNA from 2 species
GGUCCCGUAGUGUAGCGGUUAUCACGUCGCCCUGUCACGGCGAAGAUCGCGGGUUCGAUUCUCGUCACCC